rnacentral:rRNA from 1 species
CCUACGGGGUGCAUCAGUGGGGAAUAUUGGACAAUGGGCGAAAGCCUGAUCCAGCCAUGCCGCGUGUGUGAAGAAGGCCUUCGGGUUGUAAAGCACUUUCAGUGGGGAAGAAAGCCUUGGGGCUAAUACCCUCGAGGAAGGACAUCACCCACAGAAGAAGCACCGGCUAACUCCGUACCAGCAGCCGCGGUAAUACGGAGGGUGCGAGCGUUAAUCGGAAUUACUGGGCGUAAAGCGCGCGUAGGCGGUCUGAUAAGCCGGUUGUGAAAGCCCCGGGCUCAACCUGGGAACGGCAUCCGGAACUGUCAGGCUAGAGUGCAGGAGAGGAAGGUAGAAUUCCCGGUGUAGCGGUGAAAUGCGUAGAGAUCGGGAGGAAUACCAGUGGCGAAGGCGGCCUUCUGGACUGACACUGACGCUGAGGUGCGAAAGCGUGGGUAGCAAACAGGAUUAGAUCCCCGAGUAGUC